UACGGGGGGGGCAAGCGUUGUUCGGAAUUACUGGGCGUAAAGCGUGUGUAGGUGGUUUGCUAAGUCGGGUGUGAAAGCCCCGGGCUCAACCCGGGAAGUGCACUCGAAACUGGCAGGCUAGAGUACUGGAGAGGUUGGUGGAAUUCUCGGUGUAGAGGUGAAAUUCGUAGAUAUCGAGAGGAACACCGGUGGCGAAGGCGGCCAACUGGACAGAUACUGACGCUGAGACACGAAAGCGUGGGGAGCAAACAGG
rnacentral:rRNA from 1 species